CGAAGACUACAGCAGCUUCCUGAGCCACCAUCAUGCAUGGUGGACCAUCCUGGCCUAGAACCUGUCUGCCUGAAUGUAUUUUCAUUGCAGAAUGCACUGAAUAUUUAUCGGGCAGACUAUGGACCUUUACGUCUGAGGGGAAUAGUGCACCAAUAUAGAUACCUAGCCUACAGAAGCUUUGUAAGCUGGUGCUGGGGCUUUCUGGGGAGGAGUGUGAGAGUUGUGCUGCCUGCCUGCGUGGUGCUGAGGAUUCGUGCAGAGUUCCCUGACGCAGAAGGACAGUAUGUUGGGUUCAGACCUGUCCUUGGUUUAACCUUGACACGUAACUGGCUAUAACGUCCAGCUUGUCGGGUCUUUCAUACUGAGCCAAGAGGUCUUCAGGGAUUGUAAGUUUCAGCACCUCGUUCACAUAUGGGGCAGGGUCCUGGAAAACCUUCUUGAAGAUCAGGUCCAACAGUGCAUCAACGUAGUCUGCAGUGCAAUAAACAAAAAUUAAUGUUUACAAGAAAAUUGCACUAGAACCAAAAAGCCUUGUGCUGCAGUGUUGUAAAGUGUCUCUUCUUAUUUCUCCUAAUUUAUACAUUCUCCUUAUUUAUUAUUUAUUUUGAAAACCAUCUAAAAAGAAUUCAGAUUUUAUUUGUUUGUGUUUAUUUUCAACCUUUUGUGUUAUGCCUGUGUGUCCAUGUUUAUUUUAAUUGGUUGGGUUCAAAUAAAAGAUUUUAAAAC